AUUGAACGCUGGCGGCGUGCCUAAUACAUGCAAGUCGAGCGCAGGAAGCCGUCUGAACCCUUCGGGGGGACGACGGUGGAAUGAGCGGCGGACGGGUGAGUAACUCGUAAAGAACCUGCCAUAGGUCUGGGAUAACCACGAGAAAUCGGGGCUAAUACCGGAUGUGUCAUCGGACCGCAUGGUCCGCUGAUGAAAGGCGCUCCGGCGUCGCCCAUGGAUGGCUUUGGGGUGCAUUAGCUAGUUGGUGGGGUAACGGCCCACCAAGGCGACGAUGCAUAGCCGACCUGAGAGGGUGAUCGGCCACACUGGGACUGAGACACGGCCCAGACUCCUACGGGAGGCAGCAGUAGGGAAUCUUCCACAAUGGACGAAAGUCUGAUGGAGCAACGCCGCGUGAACGAUGAAGGCUUUCGGGUCGUAAAGUUCUGUUGUAAGGGAAGAACAAGUGCCGCAGGCAAUGGCGGCACCUUGACGGUACCUUGCGAGAAAGCCACGGCUAACUACGUGCCAGCAGCCGCCGUAA
rnacentral:rRNA from 1 species